rnacentral:lncRNA from 1 species
GUGGGAUUAAACUUGGUAAAGGAAUAGUGCAGUGUAUACAAAUACAAUUAAAUUAAAAAUCCACAUAAACUUAAAUAAAAUUUUAAAGAAAACUAUCAAAGUGUAAAUAUUAUGGCCUCCUCCGGUUUCAAUAUUGCAAUUAUGGCUCUUUCACGUGUACUCACAAAAACCAUCAACACACUUUGGUUUCAAGGGUUUUACCACAUUUGGACAAUCGGCGUCAGUAACACAACGAAUUGUAGCUGCAUUUUUAAAUUAGAAAAAAAAAAUUGUUACUACGAUAUGAUAAAAUGUUGUGUAUAAGACAAAAUUAGAGAAAUUGAGAAUGGUGCGAAAAAAUGGUAUACAUUUUGUCAAUUCGAACAUAGCAGCUUCAACAUAAAAUAGAUAAAGAAAUAUGAUCAAAACAUAAAUAAACAUGAGAAACUGGGCCAUA